rnacentral:misc_RNA from 1 species
CAGUACUGAGUACGUCAAUGGCGAUUACUCAAAAAGUGAAGAGCAAAUUAACAAUGGUGAUAUGAUCCGAACAGUGACGGAGGUCGGAAGAAUGACCGGAGGAGCUUUAUCGGAAUGUAUAUUUUGCCAGAUUGCUACCUCUUCAACUUCAACCACUCUCCUUCACUCCGAUGAUAAAGUUGUUGCAUUUCAAGAUAUUAAUCCCUCUGCCUUCAGGCAUUACUUGGUAAUUCCAAAACAGCACAUUCCAACUGUCAAAAACCUUCAGCGAAGCUCAGACGACUUCUCCUUGGUGAGUCACAUGUUAGAUGUGGGAAAGAGUCUGCUAGAUAGGGAUGCACCUCAGUCAAAGCACUACAGAUUUGGUUUCCAUCAGCCUCCAUUCAACAGUGUAGAUCACCUCCACCUCCACUGCUUCGCGCUUCCUUAUACUCCAAGCUGGCGAUUUAUGAAAUACUUAUCAUUG